rnacentral:rRNA from 1 species
AUUAAAUCAGCUGUGGUCUAAAUGGACCAGUGAUAUCUUACUUGGAUAACUGUGGUAAUUCCAGAGCUAAUACAUGCAACUUAAGCCCUGAAGCGUUCGGGGGUUCUGUCGGUGAGCAUGGAUUGUUGCGCUUGUCGCUUCGUCUUUGUUUUGCCUAGGUUCUCUCUGCUGACGGGUGCUUUUAUUAGACCAAACCGCUGGGGAGCUUCGGCUCAACUCACGUUGUGGUGACUCUGGAUAACUACUUUUGACUAGCGCACGUACCUCUCUUCUGAGUUGGACGGCGCUGCCACUAUCGAGUGUCUGCCUUAUCAGCUAUCAAUCGUUCGUUACGUGCGACCGAUGGCUUUGACGGGUAACGGGGAAUCAGGGUUCGAUUCCGGAGAGGCAGCCUGAGAGACGGCUACCACGUCCAAGGACGGCAGCAGGCACGCAAAUUACCCAAUCCCAGCACAUGGGGGAGGUAGUGACGAAAUCUAACGAUGCGGGCGCCCUUUCUGGGGCCCCGCAAUCGGAAUGGUCAUUUUCUAAACAACCUGUUGAGAAUCUACUGAAGGGCAAGUCUGGUGCCAGCAGCCGCGGUAAUUCCAGCUUCAGUAGCAUCUAUUAAAGUUGCUGCGGUUAAAAGGCUCGCAGUUGGAUGUCAGUACGGAGCGCAGGUCAGGUGGACGUUGGGGCGUGGGAACUCAAAGGGGUGUCUCGUGUGGUGCGUUCUUGUUCGGCUUCGGUCGUCGAGGCGUGCUCACAGCGCUUCUCUCACAAGCUCCCGUCCGUGACAAGCCUCCUCGCCUACCGUACAUUAUGGUUAUCUGUUGUGGAGGUGGACUGAGUGGGUGCUUGUGUUUGCCUCGCGCAGCGCUUGUUAUCUGCUCUUUCCAUUAAGCCUCCUAUGGUUUCUAAGUCACCUUGAGUAAAUCAGAGUGCUCAAAGCAGUCGUAAGGGACUUCGGUCCUGAGAACAGUCUAAACGGACUGACUUGAUUAUGCAUGGCAUGUCGGAAGACGACGUCGAUCGCUGGCUAAGAGUUUUACUGGUGGUAUAAGCCAGCGUCGACGUAAUGAUUAAAAGGAACAGUCGAGGGCAUUGGUAUUGCGAGGCGAGAGGUGAAAUUCUAUGACCCCCGCAAGACCUCCUGAAGCGAAAGCAUCUGCCAAGGAUGUCUCAUAAUCAUGAACGAACGAUGCCAGGGGGGAGUCUGGUUGCAAAGCUGAAACUUAAAGGAAUUGACGGAAAGGCACCACCAGGCGUGGAGCCUGCGGCUUAAUUUGACUCAACACGGGCCAUCUCACCAGGCCAGCACUCUAGCAUGAUUGACAGAUUGAGAGCUCUUUCUCGAUUAAGUGGAUGGUGGUGCAUGGCCGUUCUUAGUUGGUGGAGUGAUCUGUCUGGUUAAUUCCGAUAACGAACGAGACUCUCCCCUGCUAACUAGUCGGUUGGAUCUUAACAGUGAGAUUGUGCGCCGGGACUCUAGCGUGGGUUGGCGCUGUCGGCGUGUCUGUGCACUCGUUGUGCGGUCGCGUUCGGUGGCCCGCCUGCGUGGUCUCGGGCCGUACACUCCAAGUCCUCCGCUUAUGCUUAAAUUCUUCUUAGAGGGAUUCACGGUUCCGAAACCGUAAGAGACUGAGAGCAAUAACAGGUCUGUGAUGCCCUUAGAUGCUCUGGGCCGCACGCGCGCUACAAUGCCGGGCACAGCAGGUGUUACUCCUGCUCCGUCAGGAGCGGGCAACCCUCUGAAAGCCCUCCUGGUUGUAAUUCGAAUUCCUUCGUGCUUUUGUGGUACGUUGGAUGUUGUGGCGUGCUUGGGCCUGGGGCUUGCAAUUGUUUCCCACAAACGAGGAAUGCCUAGUAGCAGCGAGUCACUGAGCUCGCUGUGACUCAGUCCCUGCCCUUUGUACACACCGCCCGUCGCUACUACCGAUUGGGUGUACCAGUGAGAGCCUUGGACUGGCGACCGUUGCUCCUUUCGGAGCAAUGGGAACGACGGAAAGAGGUCCGAACUGGUGCACUUAGAGGGAAGUAAAAGUCGUAACAAGGUUUCCGUAGGUGAACCUGCG